rnacentral:lncRNA from 1 species
CUCUAAUAUUGAUAGGCAGAUCAGUCCGGGUACAAUGCAAGCAGAUGCAGUGCAAGCUGUCAGUAUUUCAAAAGGAGCUCAAACCAGCCCAGUGUUAUGCAGCUUCAUGUCUCCUACAUGUUCUACUUGUCUUGCCAAGAUAAAAUUGUUCAUGCACAGAUUGCACAGAAUAGCUUCUUCCACUGGAGAGAACAUGCUGAAGAAAGACUGAAACCUAACUUUCCUCCUUAUUGGCAAGGUUUGAGUUACGAGGCUACCAGAUGAGAGGUAUGAAAAACCUGGCAUAAAGGUAUGAAGUCCUCCUUUACCUUCAAGAAAGGAAUCUUGUUUUAAUCCUUCAAGUCCAGAGCAAGGAAAGGGGCUUUAGUGUGUAGCUUUGAGGCAGGUGUGUAAGGCAUAGAGUGGGUUGGAUCACAGCUACACCGUGUGCACCACUUGGCAACUGGCUGGCUCCUACCUGCUUAGUGAGCGGGGUCACUGCCUGUGGCAGUCCUUGUGCUGCCUGGACAGGCUGUGAGGGAUUCUCCAGUGGUAUCCACUGUUCUCACCUGUGCAGGCAAGGACACCAUGUGCCCAACAGCUGAGAAGCUCUGACUCUGCAAAUUCAUCCUUCAGCAAUGGGACUAAGUAGGGCAUGUAGAAAAAGAGAUCUGCAUGUUGGCUUCCAUCAGAGAAUCUAGACAAACAUUUUUGACACUGGGAUAGUGAGAGGUGCUAAUUAUGAAGUAUGUUAUAGCUCCCUGAAUUUUUUUUAUGUUCUUCCCUUGAAAUAUUCAAUGAGCAGCAUAAAUGUUUCAAGAAAUUCUUAUUUUAUAUUCAUCUCAAGCCACAGUAUUAUACCAUUAUAUUUUAUAUUUUAGUAAGUCAGAGAGAGGGAAUUGAAGCAAUCCUUCAAAAAUCACGUAUCUUCCAAAAGACAGGUCUCCUUUAUGUUCCUGUGACAUGACAUUUCAUAUGAUGAUCAUGAGAUUAGAUAAGAGUUAGAAAAAUAUAUUCUCAGGCUCAUCAUUUUACCCGUCUUGGCUAUCUAGGUAGAGAAAUGUUGCCAUGAUUCCCACCAAUGAUUAAAUCAUCCUGUCCACAUUACGAGCUCAUUUGGUCUACUAAAGGAAUAAAUCAUGCUGUUCUCUAUGUAUCCCA